rnacentral:rRNA from 1 species
UACAGAGGGUGCAAGCGUUAAUCGGAAUUACUGGGCGUAAAGCGUGCGUAGACGGUUGCGUAAGUCAGAUGUGAAAGCCCCGGGCUCAACCUGGGAAUUGCAUUUGAGACUGCGUAGCUAGGGUGCGGAAGAGGGAAGCGGAAUUUCCGGUGUGAGCGGUGAAAUGCGUAGAUAUCGGAAGGAACACCAGUGGCGAAAAGCGGCUUCCUGGACCAGUACCGACGUUCAGGCACGAAAGCGUGGGGAGCAAACAGG